UACGUAGGCAGCGAGCGUUGUUCGGAGUUACUGGGCGUAAAGGGUGUGUAGGCGGUUGUUUAAGUUUGGUGUGAAAUCUCCCGGCUCAACUGGGAGGGUGCGCCGAAUACUGAAUGACUAGAGUGCGGGAGAGGUGAGUGGAAUUCCUGGUGUAGCGGUGAAAUGCGUAGAUAUCAGGAGGAACACCAAUGGCGAAGGCAGCUCGCUGGGACGGUACUGACGCUGAGGCGCGAAAGCGUGGGGAGCAAACAGG
rnacentral:rRNA from 1 species